AACGUAGGUUCCGAGCGUUAUCCGGAUUUACUGGGCGUAAAGCGCGUUCAGGCGGUUUGGCAAGUCGGGCAUGAAAUCUCUCGGCUCAACCGGGAGAGGUUGUCCGAUACUGCUGGACUUGAGGGCAGUAGAGGGUGGUGGAAUUCCAGGUGUAGCGGUGAAAUGCGUAGAUAUCUGGAGGAAUACCGGUGGCGAAGGCGGCAUCCUGGACCGGCAUUGACGCUGAGGAGCGAAAGCCAGGGGAGCAAACGGG
rnacentral:rRNA from 1 species